AAUUUAAGUAGAGUCUAGAUUUAAACUCCCAAAAAGUAACGUUUUCACCCCAAAAUACCGUUAUCAAAAUAGGGAAAGAAGCAAAAACUUCACAACAAAAGUUUAACUUUUUAAAUAUCACUGUACGAUAGGAAUCGAAUUUCGUACUUAGUAUACAUUUAUUAUUGUUCUAGAAUAUUUCGACGAAAAUUUACAGUAACUCUAAAGAUUGCCUUUU